rnacentral:rRNA from 1 species
GUGUCAGCAGCCGCGGUAAGACGAAGGUGGCAAGCGUUGUUCGGAAUCACUGGGCUUAAAGCGCACGUAGGCGGCCUGUCAAGCGCCGUGUGAAAUCCCUCGGCUUAACCGAGGAAUGGCUUGGCGAACUGGCAGGCUUGAGGCAGGUAUGGGCGAGUGGAACUCUUGGUGGAGCGGUGAAAUGCGUAGAUAUCAAGAGGAACGCCGGCGGUGAAGACGACUCGCUGGGCCUGUCCUGACGCUGAGGUGCGAAAGCCAGGGGAGCAAACGGGAUUAGAUACCCCGGUAGUCCUGGCCGUAAACGAUGUCCACUAGAUUGGGGAUUCUUUGACGGAUUCCUGGUCGAAGCGAAAGCGUUAAGUGGACCGCCUGGGUAGUACGGUCGCAAGGCUAAAACUCAAAGGAAUUGACGGGG